rnacentral:lncRNA from 1 species
GAACGCGAGGCCCCGCCCCGGCGCCGCCGUCCGCGCCUCCGCCGCCUCGCCCUUCACCGAGGCCACCUCCUCCUCGCGCUACCGCCGCGAUGCCUGGUCCUACGCCGCCGACGGCUCCUCCAGCCCCGCGUCGUCGUCGUCGUCGCCCUCCGAUGCCGCCGCUGCCGCCGCCGCCGCCGCCGCCGCGGCGGGCCGCCGGGACGACGAGAUCGCGCUGCAGCUGCCGGAGCUGCGGAGGCUCCUGGACGCGCUGAGGGCUUCCAGGGGGAGGAGCGCCGAGGGGGAGGGCGGCGGCGGCGGGCCUGGGAGGGUGGC